UACGUAGGGACCAAGCGUUGUUCGGAUUUACUGGGCGUAAAGGGCGCGUAGGCGGCGCGGUAAGUCACUUGUGAAAUCUCUGAGCUUAACUCAGAACGGCCAAGUGAUACAGCAGUGCUAGAGUGUGGAAGGGGCAAUCGGAAUUCUUGGUGUAGCGGUGAAAUGCGUAGAUAUCUGGAGGAACACCGGUGGCGAAGGCGGCAUCCUGGACCGGCAUUGACGCUGAGGCGCGAAAGCUAGGGGAGCAAACGGG
rnacentral:rRNA from 1 species